AACGAACGCUGGCGGCAUGCCUAACACAUGCAAGUCGAACGAGACCUUCGUGUCUAGUGGCGCACGGGUGCGUAACGCGUGGGAACCUGCCCUUAGGUUCGGAAUAACUCCCCGAAAGGGGUGCUAAUACCGGAUAAUGUCUUCGGACCAAAGAUUUAUCGCCGUUGGAUGGGCCCGCGUUGGAUUAGCUAGUUGGUAGGGUAAAAGCCUACCAAGGCGACGAUACAUAGCUGGUCUGAGAGGAUGAUCAGCCACACUGGGACUGAGACACGGCCCAGAAUACUACGGGAGGGAGCAGUGGGGAAUAUUGGAAAAUGGGCGAAAGCAUGAUCCAGCAAUGCCGCGUGAGUGAUGAAGGCCUUAGGGUUGUAAAGCUCUUUUACCCGGGAUGAUAAUGACAGUACCGGGAGAAUAAGCUCCGGCUAACUCCGUG
rnacentral:rRNA from 1 species